rnacentral:misc_RNA from 1 species
GAUGAAGAACGCAGCGAAAUGCGAUACGUAAUGUGAAUUGCAGAAUUCAGUGAAUCAUCGAAUCUUUGAACGCAUAUUGCGCUCUCUGGUAUUCCGGAGAGCAUGCUUGUUUGAGUAUCAGUAAACACCUCAACUCCCCUUUCUUUUUUUGAAAUGGGAGCUGGACUUGAGUGAUCCCAACGCUUUUCUCACCGAAAAGUGGCGGGUUACUUGAAAUGCAGGUGCAGCUGGACUUUUCUCUGAGCUAAAAGCAUAUCUAUUUAGUCUGCCUAAAAAACAGAUUAUUACCUUUGCUGCAGCUAACAUAAAGGAGAUUAGUGCUUGUGCUGACUGAUGCAGGAUUCACAGAGACAGCUUCGGCUGGCCUUUGUAAACUCGAUCUCAAAUCAAGUAAGACUACCCGCUGAACUUAAGCAUAUCAAUAAGCGGAGGA